GACGUAGGGCGCGAGCGUUGUCCGGAUUUAUUGGGCGUAAAGAGCUCGUAGGCGGCUUGUCGCGUCGACUGUGAAAUCCCGGAGCUCAACUCCGGAACUGCCUUUGAUACUGGGGAUCUUGAGUCCGGAAGAGGUGAGUGGAACUCCGAGUGUAGAGGUGAAAUUCGUAGAUAUUCGGAAGAACACCAGUGGCGAAGGCGGCUCACUGGUCCGGUACUGACGCUGAGGAGCGAAAGCGUGGGGAGCGAACAGG
rnacentral:rRNA from 1 species